ACACAUGCAAGUCGAGGGGCAGCGCGGGAUAGCAAUAUCCUGGCGGCGACCGGCGGAAGGGUGCGUAACGCGUGAGCGACAUGCCCGUUGCCCGGGGACAACCGGUGGAAACGCCGACUAAUCCCCGAUGGGAUAUUGUGCCGCAUGGCACGAUAUUGAAAGUUACGGCGGCGACGGAUUGGCUCGCGUCCGAUUAGCUUGUUGGCGGGGUAACGGCCCACCAAGGCUACGAUCGGUAGGGGUUCUGAGAGGAAGGCCCCCCACAGUGGGACUGAGACACGGCCCAUACUCCUACGGGAGGCAGCAGUGAGGAAUAUUGGUCAAUGGGCGGAAGCCUGAACCAGCCAUGCCGCGUGCGGGAAGGAGGCCCUAUGGGCUGUGAACCGCUUUUGCCUGGGGGCAAUAAGGGCGUCGCGCACGCCCGAUGAGAGUACCAGGCGAAUAAGCAUCGGCUAACUCCGUGCCAGCAGCCGCGGUAAUACGGGGGAUGCGAGCGUUAUCCGGAUUCAUUGGGUUUAAAGGGUGCGUAGGCUGUGCGUCAAGUCGGGGGUGAAAUUCCGGUGCUCAACACCGGGGCUGCCCUUGAUACUGUCGCGCUGGAGUGCGGAUGCCGCCGGAGGAAUGAGUGGUGUAGCGGUGAAAUGCUUAGAUAUCACUCAGAACACCGAUUGCGAAGGCAUCUGGCGAAUCCGUAACUGACGCUGAGGCACGAAAGCGUGGGGAUAGAACAGGAUUAGAUACCCUGGUAUUCCACGCCGUAAACGAUGAUGGCUAACCGCCGGCGACACACUGUCGGUGGCCAAGCGAAAGCGAUAAGCCAUCCACCUGGGGAGUACGUCG
rnacentral:rRNA from 1 species